UACUUCGCUAAUCAUUUAUCUACCUCAGUUAAUUUUGCGCACCUAGAAAAUUUUUGCUGUGGUUGCAAUACCACUUUUUUGAGUGUACAAAGGGAUCUCGUUGCUUGAUUGAUCCUAUUUGUGCAGAUAUCAGUUUGACAGAAAUUUCAUUUAGGACUUAAUGGCCGCAGUAUUGAAAGGCAUUGAAAGAUCGCGAUAAAUGAUAAGAGUUACGAGCGGGUUAAGGACGAAAGAAAGAAAGAGAGAAAGGCGGAGAACCGGCCCACGUGCGCGUAAUUGUCAGGUACACGCGGAGAGGAAACCCGAGUCUUUCGACAGGUGUCAAUGAACCGGUCAACGACGUA